rnacentral:misc_RNA from 1 species
AACUAGGUCUCAGUGUACCGCGAUAACAGAUCCAAGAUGGAAGAUGGCUGACAGAUGGUAGUCAUGUCCUCUCGUCAGUAACAUCCUUUUUAUGUAUAACUGUUACCAUCUAAGAGGGGUUAGCUGCAAGAUUUUGACAUAUUUGUUUUCUUUCACAUGAUGGGUUGAAGCAUAAAUUUGAUACAAUGCUUUUAUAUUAUAACAAAUAAAACUUCUUGCCAUUUACCCUCAUGUGAAAGAAAACAAAUA